rnacentral:snRNA from 1 species
GUGCUUGCUUUGGAAGCACAUAGAUUAAAAUUGAAUGAUACAGAGAUACAUAGCCCUGCACAAGGAUGACACACAAACUCGUGAAGUGAUAGAUAUAAUA